UAUGAGGCAAUCCGGGUGAUCUGAUUAAGUUUGAUGUGGAAGCUUUCCAAAUUAUAAAAUUAAAAAGUUCUCCGAAGAUGAGAAAUAAGACCACUAUAAUUUGCUCCAGCAUGCGAGAUGUCCCACAGCAACUCAGAAGCGCUUGGCUCAGAUGGAAAUCAGACAGACUGCAGACGUCUUGCACGGGCAGAUUUCAACAAGUAAACAAACGCUGCUCAGCUCAGAAUUAGUUUACAGCUGAACUUUCCCAUCAUUUCUCAACACCAGAGAGGCCAGGACCGCAGGGAAAGCAGCAGCCGUGCGACCACAUGAGAAUUAAGCUUUAGCCCGGCGCUGAGGAUUCAAAGCGAGCAGCAGCGAGGCGGUCCGGAGGCAGGGACGCCGCGGAGAAGCCCCGAUGCCAGCAGCACAGUCAUCGCGCCGAACUUGGGCUGGAUUUCCUCAGGUCUUCAGGUUUGGAGACGAGUGGUACCCUCGGCACCCCUAGAGAGCAGCCUGGAGAUGGAAGAGAAGGCCGUGCACUUGGCCGUUGUGGCCCCGCAGUUUGGAGAGAUGCCCACACUCAAGUGGCAGAACCUGAAGGGAUCCAUCACUGCUCACCAGAGCCACCACAGAACCUGGAAUUGAGAGGAAAGUUAUUGAGGUUUGCAGAGGUAAAGAGAGUGGCGCCAGGAGUUUUGAGAUCGCUGCUGUAAAGAUUGAGGUUUAAACAUGCAUACUCAUGUUUUCUGAGAUAAAUUAUCAGGAAGUUGGACAGAUCAAUAAUAAUGAGAUUGGCUUUUGAAGCCAUUAAAGAGAAUCUGAAGGCCCUGGCUUGUUACUCAUUAAGAGCACAGCUAUUUUAUUAUUCAGAGGCAUAUUCUGACACUCAGACUAAGCACUGGGGAAGUAGAAGCCCUUUACAAACCUAGAGGUAUCAGCAUCAGACCACAGUCUUAACACUGUUUUUCUUGUACAGCUUCAUAAGAGGUGAAAAUGAGGGUUUUCAACUGAAUUCCAAGGAGAAUUCAUCUAACCAAACAGAGUGCCUUGCUCCCUUAUUGUUGUAUUUUCCAUAGGGAUAUAAUCAUAUUGUUGAUAUAGAAUUGAGUCUAAGUUUUCUAGUAGAAAAAAAGAAAGAAAACUUCAAAAAGGUUCUAAGGUUUCCAUCUAUUUACAAACCAAAUGGACUCAAGUUUUUGUCACUUUCAAGGAGGCAGAAUGUAUUUAGAAGUUUAUUCCUGCUUAAAUAAAAGCAGAGGUAACAGCUGAUAAAAGUUUGAAGUACUUUGUGUUUACCCAGCCAGCAGAUUAAGACUCUCUUUUUAGAAAUUAACUAUAAUAAUGAGUUUCACACACACACAGAGGCACACAAAAGAGGAUCAAUACAUUCAUUUCAAAGCUGAUGUGGUCCUCCCAACAACAGGAUCAUUGUACUGCCAGUCAUAAUCUUGGUCAAACACCUUUUUCUAUUAGGAGCAAGUUCAAUAUACCCUCCAAAUGAUUGCAACUCUAUGUACCACAAUUUUCUCUCUGAAAGCAAAGACAUCAGCAGCAGAGGAAUAAUUAAUAUUGACACUGACAAAGUCAAUCUGGCACCAAGGUCAUCAUUUUGAGGAAGAUUAUGAACAUCAGGAUAUACUUUGCUAUUUUUAUUCAUUCAGAUUAUUCACCAAGUAGCCAAUGAGCUGCUCAGCACAAGAAAGACACAAACUUUUUGGAGCAGAUCCAGAGGAGGCCACAGAAAUGAUCAGAGGGCUGGAACACCUCUCCUAUGAAGAAAGGUUGAGAGAGUUGAGGUUGUGCAGCCUGAAGAAGAGAAGGAUUCAGAAGACCUUAUUGCAGCCUUGCAGUGCUUAAAGGGGAUCUACAAGAAAGAUAAGCACAAUCUUUUUAGCAGUGUCUGUUGCAACAGGACAAGGAGUAAUGAUUUUAAACUAAAAGACAUGACUUUUUUUAGACUAGAUACAAGGAAGAACUUUUUUUACAAUGAGGAUGGUAAAACACUGGCAGAGGUUGCCCACAGACUGCCCAGAGAGGUGGCAGAUGCCUGAUCUCUGGAGAUAAGGUCAAGUUGAACAGAACAUUGCUAAGAACGAUGCUUUCUCUGCUUUGCUCAUUGACAUCCAAUGGCUUCAUUUGACAGCCUACAAACUCCCAUUUUCUCCAUUUAUCAAAGGAAACACAUAAUCUACACCAGUUUACAAAUGCACUGAGUAUGUUUAAUCACAGAUUAUGCUUAUCAUGGUCACAGAUAUUUGUGCAAGAAAGGGAACUAGAAAGUAGAGCUAACCAUGAUAAAUAUGCCCUAUUUGCAAACCUUUAUAACUACCCAGCUCCUUCAUCUAGAACAAAGCCUGACACAGCAAAGAUCUGUAGGAUGGAUUAGAGUGUCCAAAGCAGCAGAUGUGAAUAUUUAUUAUAAACUCCCUUCCAGCAAGUCGUUGCUGACAGAAGCAUUGCAUAUGGAUUUCUCUUGCAGCCAGACUCUCCAGGCAGUCGCUGGGCUGACUUCUCUAGGAGCCAAACAAAUGCCAUUUUGCCUGCAGCCCUGACAUCGCAACAGCUGGGUGGGGGGUUAAUGUCACUUUCAGCUUCUCGAAACCAGUAACAAACUCACUCAUUACAAAGAGAGAUGGACUGAAAGGAGAAAAGAUUUGGACAACUGCAGUUCACUUUGAGAAAGUAAGGGCAGGACAGACCGGCAACUGAGACAACAGCUUCAAUGUCUAAUUUGCCCUCCUGGCUUGGCAGCAGGGCACAAACAGACCCAAGCACUGUUUCUCCAAACCUUUUGCUAGAUAAGUCAUAUGCCUAACAGAGAACAACAGCACUCGGAGCCCUGCAGCCCGAGCCAAUAUUCCAGCAGUAUUGGGAAAUGACAAAACCAAUAGCUAUAGAGAGAGGCACAAUAAAAAAUGACUAGCUAUGUAGUGCAGUAGUAAA